rnacentral:lncRNA from 1 species
CUAGAUUGGUGACCCAUUUCCUUCUUCAGCAGACUAAGAAAAGCAAAGGUCAGAAAUAUUCAAAUAGUGGUUUACCAUCUAGACAUCUACUGAGUUCUUUCUAAAUCUUCAAACUGAUAUGAAGCUAUUGUUUAUUGUGGAGUGAAUAUGUGCAUGUAUUUGAAACAAAGGGCUUCCUCAGACACUGAAAGGGUAGCUCUCCACAGGUGCUCAAGAAUCACUAAUAGUGACAGUCACCAUAUCAUAUAAAUGAAUUCCUUUCUCAUUCUGAGAUGUAGCUCAUCUGGGUCUGGCAUUUCAAACUCAUCAAAGGCAGCUAAUGAUAUGUACAGAAGACAAGAUGUUGUAAAAUUAGGGGAAGGCACAGGAAGUGAGGAAAAGGAAAGUGUCUUUCAAAAGGAGUUACAACUUCCUGAGUGCUGUUCUACUUGA